rnacentral:rRNA from 1 species
AGCGAAAGCUAGUUGUAUUAUUAGUUAAUGCAAGAUCGACUACGUCGACUAAAGUUCUAGGUAGAAUAAUGAUGAUGACAAUUUUUUACCUAUAUGUCUUGACCAAGUCUCGUGCCAGCAGUCGCGGUAAUACGUGGAAGACUAGUGUUAUUCAUCUUUAUUAGGUUUAAAGGGUACCUAGACGGUAUUUCUAGCCCAAAAUAGGGUACGGAUUUACUAGAGUUUUAUGUGAGGAGGGGAGUACUCAUGGAGUAGAGAUGAAAUUUUGUUAUACUAUGAGGUAACUGGUGGCGGCGAAAGCAACCUUCUAUGUAUAAACUGACGUUGAGGGACGAAGGCUUGGGUAGCAAAUAGGAUUAGAUACCCUAGUAGUCCAAGCAGACAAUUCUGAAUGCCAUAGAUUAGAUUAUUUUUGGUCUAUAAAUGAAAGUGUAAGCAUUCCACCUUAGGAGUAAUGUGGCAACACAGGAACUGAAAUCAUUAGACCGUUUCUGAAACCAGUAGUGAAGUAUGUUAUUUAAAUUGAUGGUCCACAAAAAACCUUACCACAACUUGAAUAUUUUUUUAAUUAAUACAAGCGUUGCACGGCUGUCUUCAGUUAAUGUCGUGAGAUUUUGGUUAACUCCAUUAAUUAACGUAAACCCUUACUUU